rnacentral:lncRNA from 1 species
GUAAAGGUUGCACUGCUCAGGAUUUAACAUUACAGCAGAUAUAUACGGCAAAUAGUACUAUUCAUAAUUAAACACAUGAGUAACACAAAUCAUUGCUCGACAGUUGAAAGUUGAGAAGCAGAGUGCAAGGUGCGCGAGUUUCGGGACAAAGAUUAGUUCGACCUCAUGCAGGAGGGAAAUGAUCGACAUGUCCCAGCAAACAUUGAUAAAACAGAACAAAAUGAUGAGCUUCACAGUGACAUUUCUCCAACAACAGCUUCACAACUUGUUUGAAUCAUCAUCUCCGCCGGAAUAAUCACGACAAGACUCUUCGGGCUUUCUUAACAACCUUCAAGACUUUCUUAACAACUAGACUGAAAUUAAAUAAAAACAUCUCAGUAAAAAUAGAAAAUUUGAUUAAAACUAACAAGAAAUGGGUAACAUAAUUAGAAAGUAAAUAUCAUAGCUUUCCAAAACUAUAAUAGGAGCAUGCUAGAGUGUACAACAAGCCAGCAAUAAUGUACACUAUCAUGGUUCAUAUCUCCAAACCCACUGCAAAUAGAACAUAAACUACAGUGUCAACUAUCAAACAAAAUUGAUUUAUUCUAACAUGCCAUAUGCCACUUCUAGCCUCAUUCAACUAUAGGUUCCAGAAUGCAUCAAAUAAAAUCAAAAGAUUCAGAUGAGAACUCCCUACGAAAGGUGUUUAGCUGGUGGUGCUAUCUCUGCUAUACAGAGCUGUAUUUUGACAAACUAUUGCAAGCAUCUUAUUUGGUGUCAUCCUGAUACAUGAACAAUGUGAGAAAAUGCAGACAAAUUUGUACUUAUAUAUGGUGUGAAUGCUAUAGUAAACAGAUAUAAAACACUGUAGCAUGGCAUGGCGUAUUUGCGAAACAGAACAAUAUGUGUGCCUAUAGUAAAUUUGCUAAAGAAAGAGAGCACUGGAGAAAUCUAAUUGCCUAUUUCGCAGUUCUGGAAUCUGCAGAGACAAUCAAAGCAGGCGGUGCAAACUAAAUUGAAACCAAACAGCUAUACAAUCUAUGGUCAGUUAGCAAUACCUAACCAUGAGUUUAAUUAGAGCGCAUCACACUUGGACUUUGUAGGACAUCUCUAGUUUAUAUGUGUCUCCUAAUUAAGAUGAGUCCCAUGUUUUUCUUAUUUGUUUUUACUCACCAUUAGUAGUUUCAUCUGGCGGUGCAAACUAAAUUCAAACCAAACAGCUACCGAAAGUAACUACCGUUCUUGUACUGAACAAAUAAAAGCAUAUGAACUAAGCUAGCUAGCUGGCACCAAACUGCAAAUAUCCUCUGAAAAUUGGACAACCAUUUCUGGAGGUAUUAUUUAUACGCACAACAAGGCUUCUUUUCUCAGAAAACAAGUAAUAGUGUACAUGAAUUCCAAAAUACUACUGGUACAGCAGUGCAUGCAUUUGGUAAAGAGCUGACAGGACCGUGGAUCUAUCUACAUCUAACCCCAGUGCAUGUACAUCUCAUCUUAUCUGAUCUGAUCUCGGCGAUUUGGUUGGUGCAGUUGCUUACCUGGGAGAAGAAGAGGAGGAGGCAGAGCAGGGACUGAAGAGAGCAUCGGCGGGAUUGGGGAGGGAGAAGAGGAAAGUCCCUGCAAGGCUUUGGCUCGGUCCCCGGUGAUUCCCUUGGACAGCUUCCAAUGCUGCACAAGCUUAAUUUGAAGCUCAGUGCCUACACAAUGAGCAAGGUCAGCACUACUCGCUGCGCAAUUGUUCUAGCCGAGAACAAAAUUCUUAAAUUUUGGGCAAAGGAUGUUCACAAGGGUUUGGGAUCCUAUGCGGUGACCGCAAUAUUAG